CCGGGUUAGCAUCUGGGUUAGCAGAAUGACGUACAGGAGAAAGCAGACAGAGAGCCACAGGUACAAUAUUACUGCAGUGAGAAGAAGAACACAGUGUGUAGCCGUGGAUGUAUAAGAGGGAGGGUGAGACACACCAGUGGGAGUAAGUGGGAGUCUGAUUAGUAUUUGUCAUUCACAAGGACGCCUUGAUCAGGAGAGAGAAGAUACACACAGGGAGGAAGGAAGAUGGCGGUUGGUGGGUGGCUGGAGCAAAGCAUUGUCUAGGAAACAAUAUCUUCUGAUUCAUGUCUUUUAGAAAAAUCCAGAUGGAUUGUUUUCCAAGCGGGGUGAUGUGAUGCGAGGUUAGCAAGAUCAACACACAAUGUCUGAUGACAGGCAGAGAUAGAUGGAGAGUGAAGCGAUUGUUUGAACACAGUGGUGGUGAUCUCAAGUGGUAGUGAGGGGUGAAGGGAGGGGGGUAGUGAUAGUCUCUAUGUGGGGAAGAAAAGAGGGGGAGGAGAGGGUGGCUGAUGGUCUCUUUAUGUGGGGAGAGGAGAGGAGAGGAGAGGGUGGCUGAUGGUCUCUUUAUGUGGGGAGAGGAGAGGGUGGCUGAUGGUCUCUUUAUGUGGGGAGAGGAGAGGGUGGCUGAUGGUCUCUUUAUGUGGGGAGAGGAGGAGAGAGGAGAGGGUGGUUUUUGUGGGGAGAGGAGAGGGUGGCUGAUGGUCUCUUUAUGUGGGGAGAGGAGAGGGUGGCUGAUGGUCUCUUUAUGUGGGGAGAGGAGGAGAGAGGAGAGGGUGGCUGAUGGUCUCUUUAUGUGGGGAGAGGAGAGGGUGGCUGAUGGUCUCUUUAUGUGGGGAGAGGAGAGGGUGGCUGAUGGUCUCUUUAUGUGGGGAGAGGAGAGGGUGGCUGAUGGUCUCUUUAUGUGGGGAGAGAGGAGAGGAGGGUGGCUGAUGGUCUCUUUAUGUGGGGAGAGGAGAGGGUGGCUGAUGGUCUCUUUAUGUGGGGAGAGGAGAGGAGAGGGUGGCUGAUGGUCUCUUUAUGUGGGGAGAGGAGAGGGUGGCUGAUGGUCUUUUUAUGCGGAGGACGGGAGUCUGGAACUAAGAGAAUGUUGCUCAGUAGUCAUUCUCAUAUUCCUGUUCCUGUCCUUCUUGAGUUAGAACCAGACCAGAGGAGACAGACAGAGACACAGAGAAACACGUACCUUCCAUCAGUACAGAUACCAGACCACCAACAUGCUACCAUUCAAAAUACCACAUGGACCCACUAGUGGUUGUGCUAGUCAGUAUCGCUGACUCAGACUGCUGUGUUAUGGCAGCUGCUCAUCAGAGCUCUGAAAGCAGACAUGUACAGGCACAACAUAGUGCUGUAAUCUUUAUUUCUCUUUCUUAAUGUAAGAAAAUGUCAUAAAGAUGUAGAACAGUGAAAUGAGA
rnacentral:lncRNA from 1 species